rnacentral:rRNA from 1 species
AAUCAACGCUGGCGGCGUGCCUCAGACAUGCAAGUCGAACGAUUAAGACUUCCUUCGGGAAGUGCAUAAAGUGGCGCACGGGUGAGUAACACGUAAGUAAUCUACCCUCGAGUGGGGAAUAACAGUCGGAAACGACUGCUAAUACCGCAUAAUGCAGCGGCACCGCAAGGUGACAGUUGUUAAAGGAGCAAUCCGCUUGAGGAGGAGCUUGCGGCAGAUUAGCUAGUUGGUAAGGUAACGGCUUACCAAGGCUACGAUCUGUAUCCGGUCUAAGAGGACGGUCGGACGCACUGACACUGAAUAACGGGUCAGACUCCUACGGGAGGCAGCAGUCGGGAAUUUUGGGCAAUGGGCGAAAGCCUGACCCAGCAACGCCGCGUGAAGGAUGAAGUAUUUCGGUAUGUAAACUUCGAAAGAAUAGGAAGAAUAAAUGACGGUACUAUUUAUAAGCUCCGGCUAACUAUGUGCCAGCAGCCGCCGUAAGAC